rnacentral:rRNA from 1 species
UUGGAGGGCAAGUCUGGUGCCAGCAGCCGCGGUAAUUCCAGCCCCAAUAGCGUAUAUUAAAGUUGUUGCAGCUAAAAAGCUCGUAGUUGAAUUUCGGGGUUCUACCGUUGGUCGGGCAAUAGUCUGUACUGGCGUGUAGAAUUUCUACCUUCUGGGGAACUAUCAUGUUAUUUAUUUAGCGUGGUAGGAAACCAGGACCUUUACCUUGAAAAAAUUAGAGUGUUCAAAGCAGGCUUACGUCUGAAUACAUUAGCAUGGAAUAAUAAAAUAGGACGGUGGUCCUGUUUUGUUGGUUUCUGAAUCACCGUAAUGAUUAAUAGGGAUAGUUGGGGGCAUUAGUAUUCAAUUGUCAGAGGUGAAAUUCUUGGAUUUAUUGAAGACUAACUUCUGCGAAAGCAUUUGCCAAGGAUGUUUUCAUUAAUCAAGAGCGAAAGUUAGGGGAUCGAAGACGAUCAGAUACCGUCGUAGUCUUAACCAUAAACUAUGCCGACUAGGGAUCGGACGAUGUUAAUUUUUCUUGACUCGUUCGGCACCUUACGGGAAAC